AGGCAGUGAUGUCGAAUUAUAUACCAUCAAACUAUGAGAGCCAUCGUUAUUGGCUUGUUGAUGCGAAUUACUAACUAUUCUGAGCCU